rnacentral:rRNA from 1 species
GACGAACGCUGGCGGCGUGCUUAACACAUGCAAGUCGAACGGAAAGGCCCUGCUUUUGUGGGGUGCUCGAGUGGCGAACGGGUGAGUAACACGUGAGUAACCUGCCCUUGACUUUGGGAUAACUUCAGGAAACUGGGGCUAAUACCGGAUAGGAGCUCCUGCUGCAUGGUGGGGGUUGGAAAGUUUCGGCGGUUGGGGAUGGACUCGCGGCUUAUCAGCUUGUUGGUGGGGCAGUGGCUUACCAAGGCUUUGACGGGUAGCCGGCCUGAGAGGGUGACCGGCCACAUUGGGACUGUGAUACGGCCCAGACUCCUACGGGAGGCAGCAGUGGGGAAUAUUGCACAAUGGGCGGAAGCCUGAUGCAGCAACGCCGCGUGCGGGAUGACGGCCUUCGGGUUGUAAACCGCUUUCGCCUGUGACGAAGCGUGAGUGACGGUAAUGGGUAAAGAAGCACCGGCUAACUACGUG